ensembl:lncRNA LINC00472 long intergenic non-protein coding RNA 472
GCAGCGCGGCCGGUGGGGACUGCGGGGCGGGCCGGAGUCCGUCCGAGGGCUCCCGCACCUCGGGCUGCGGGAACAUUAAAAUCUCCCCAGAUGCUCACUGCUCUGAUCAUUUCCCCUACAGCACCAGACAUGUUGGCAUCAUCUCUUAGUUGGGCCAUGUGGCCAGGGAACCCUUCAUGAAACCACCUCUGCAGUCCUGGAGAGUUGCUGUAGAAGAAGGAAAAGAGAGGAAGACAACACAACACAGGAGGGGAUAAGUACCUCUGGACACAAUGGAAGUAGUAGUUGUUGAGCAGAGGGAAAGGGAUAGGAGAAGGAUGUGGACUGCAGUGCUGCAGUGCCAGUGGACAUGAGAGAAAGAUCCCAUAGCCCUCUUGGUCUUGGUUGGAACAGGAGGAAAAUGAAAACUGGACAUCCAUCUUAGGACUUAAUCCUACGGAGACCACAAGCUGGAAGAGGCACUCAAUACUAGCAUGGCUUCUGUGGCAUUUUGAUGAGUAGUAUGGGCUCCACACUGAAAUAUUAAUAUCUUAUUGUUUUGAUGAUGAUGAUGAUGUUCAUUGGCCCAGGGCAAAAGGUAAAGGUUGUGUUAUAAAGCUGAUCUAUUCAAUAUCUGUGGAUGUUAACUCCACCCCAUCCCCUUAUUGAACAAUUACGAUGCCUAUAAAUAUUGUAUUGAGAAAGAAAAAAAAAACUAAGGCAGAAGAUAUCAUAUUACCUGUCCAUAUGUGACAUUUUGGCUGGCCAAGCCAUAAUGGCCAAAGAGGAGCAACUGUCAAAAUUUAAGUGGGGUUAGAAAAGAAGAGAGGAACUUGCACGUUUGCACCUACAAGGACCCUCUUUUCUCCUCUGGUAGCCAUGGAAACCACUCCUUGGACCUCCUUUCAAGAGACUCUGCAUGGGGAGCACAGUUGACUGACAGCUCCAAUUGCUGCUCCUUCGAGUCCACCAUGGCACUCAUGCCCACGCAAUGUUUCCUCCAGGGUUCUCCAGGUAGAGAUGGAGCAGGUGGGGUUGCCAGAGGCAGGCCAUCAGGCCAUCUUGACUGAUGUGGGACUUCUAAUGCUUCCAGGUCUGAAGGCUCACCUGCCACUUCCUGCUCCCUCCUCCUUUACCCUUCACAGGAGUUUCCUCCCCAUAAAUUUCUUGUGUAUCUAGUCCUGUCUUGGCAUCAGCUUCUUGGAGGACUUGAACUGAUAUGCACUCAACAGCCAGUAAAUCCUGCUAAUUCACAAAAUCCUUGAUUAUCAGUACUAAAGAAAGACACUGGGGGUGAAGAUGUCAUCUUCUAAAAGACUUACUGGGGAUAAUCUACCACCAAAUGUAGGUGGCAAAUGCCAUCUUUGAUCACAUAAUGGAAUCAAUGAAGGAGGUUAUUGAUCUGGUUCAGAGGUGACUUUAGAAUGUCCCAAACCCUUUAAAUAUGUGUGUAUUGAGUAUGUGUGCAAUUCUCCUUGAAGAACAUUUAUACCUUUCAUCUCAUUAAUCUACAAAAUUAUCAGCAGUGGCAGCUAAUUGUCAGUUAACUAGGUAGUUGACAAGUCACAUUAACAUGAAAUCUGUGUUUCAUGUAAAUAAAAAAAAUAAAAUGACUUAUUUUAUGCAA